UUCCCUCUUCAGGGCAAGGCAACCUUUCCUCCCAGCCAGUCCUCCUCAUUGGGUCCCCCCCCUCCACCGUGGGAUGGCGUGGGAGACGCUGGUGUUUAUGGACGCCCAGAGACUGUCGUGGUUUGAUCUGCUCCUGGGGAGACCCUGGAGGGAACCCCCUCUGCUCAUGCUGGGGCAGAAGCUGUUAGUGCGGCGCUCGUGACCAUCAAUUUAGGCAUCACGUGGUGGAUCGCCUAGCUGGUCUAUAUGGGGCUGGGCGGGAGGGCGUCCCUGGUGGCCCUGGUGGUGGCAAUUUGGGCCAUCAUCGUGAUCUGUGGCUGGUUGCCCCAGGAUACCCCGCCUGCCCCGUACCCCUUGCGGCCCCAUGACCCCCACCAGCUCAGCCGGCUACGGCACGUCACCCUUCCGCCUCUACAGACCAUAGCCUCGAGCGUCUCCUGGAGGGACCCCCGC
rnacentral:lncRNA from 1 species